GGAAUGGGCAUCAAUACUGGUGAGACAUCCUUACCUUUACCUUAUAUCAUUAUAAGCUCAUUUCUCUACAACUAUUGGUUUCUGAGAUACCUUACCAUCUGUCACUAGUAUUUUAUUUUUAGUUUUGACUAUAUCAUCAGCAUCCAUAGUAUCAUUUCUCACAUCAUCAACCACAUGCAUAGGUAGAUCUAUAGUAUCCUUACCCCUCUGAGUGGUGAUAGAUAGGCAGUGACUAUCCAUUUUUUGAUUCGAAAUAAUUUUUCUUGGAAGUGUACUCGGC
rnacentral:lncRNA from 1 species